AUACGGAGGGUGCAAGCAUUAUUCGGAAUCACUGGGCGUAAAGGACGCGUAGGCGGGUUGGCAAGUCAGAUGUGAAAUCCUACAGCUUAACUGUAGAACUGCAUUUGAAACUGCUAACCUAGAGUAUGGGAGGGGGAGAUGGAAUUAGUGGUGUAGGGGUAAAAUCCGUAGAUAUCACUAGGAAUACCGAAAGCGAGGGCGAUCUCCUGGAACAUAACUGACGCUAAGGCGUGAAAGCGUGGGGAGCAAACAGGAUUAGAGACCCUAGUAGUCC
rnacentral:rRNA from 1 species